rnacentral:rRNA from 1 species
CCUACGGGUGGCAGCAGUGGGGGAUAUUGCACAAUGGGGGAAACCCUGAUGCAGCAACGCCGCGUGGGUGAAGAAGUGCUUCGGCAUGUAAAGCCCUAUCAGCAGGGAAGAAACAAGCCGUUCCCUGACUAAAAAGCCCCGGCUAACUACGUCCCAGCAGCCGCGGGAAUACGUAGGGGGCGAGCGUUAUCCGGAUUAACUGGGUGUAAAGGGAGCGUGGACGGCCAAGCAAGCCGGGGGUGAAGGCCCGGGGCCCAACCCCGGGACUGCCCUUGAAACUUCAUGGCUGGAGUGCGGGAGGGGCAGGCGGAAUUCCUGGUGUAGCGGUGAAAUGCGUAGAUAUUAGGAGGAACACCGGUGGCGAAGGCGGCCUGCUGGACCGCGACUGACGUUGAGGCUCGAAAGCGUGGGGAGCGAACAGGAUUAGAUACCCCAGUAGUC